rnacentral:rRNA from 1 species
GACGAACGCUGGCGGCGUGCUUAACACAUGCAAGUCGAACGGAAAGGCCCUGCUUUUGUGGGGUGCUCGAGUGGCGAACGGGUGAGUAACACGUGAGUAACCUGCCCUUGACUUUGGGAUAACUUCAGGAAACUGGGGCUAAUACCGGAUAGGAGCUCCUGCUGCAUGGUGGGGGUUGGAAAGUUUCGGCGGGUGGGGAUGGACUCGCGGCUUAUCAGCUUGUUGGUGGGGUAGUGGCUUACCAAGGCUUUGACGGGUAGCCGGCCGGGGAGGGUGACCGGCACAAUGGGGCCUGGGAUACGGCCCAGACUCCUAGGGGAGGCAGCAGUGGGGAAUAUUGCACAAGGGGCGGAGGCCUGUUGCAGCAAGGCCGGGUGCGGGAUGACGGCCUUCGGGUUGUAAACCGCUUUCGCAGGUGACGAAGUGUUAGUGACGGUAAUGGGUAAAGAAGCACCGGCUAACUACGUG